rnacentral:rRNA from 1 species
CGUCGCUCAACGGAUAAAAGGUACCCCGGGGAUAACAGGCUGAUCUUCCCCAAGAGUCCAUAUCGACGGGAUGGUUUGGCACCUCGAUGUCGGCUCGUCGCAUCCUGGGGCUGGAGUCGGUCCCAAGGGUUGGGCUGUUCGCCCAUUAAAGCGGUACGCGAGCUGGGUUUAGAACGUCGUGAGACAGUUCGGUCCCUAUCCGCUGUGCGCGUAGGAGUCUUGAGAAGGGCUGUCCCUAGUACGAGAGGACCGGGACGGACGAACCUCUGGUGUGCCAGUUGUUCUGCCAAGGGCAUGGCUGGUUGGCUACGUUCGGGAGGGAUAACCGCUGAAAGCAUCUAAGCGGGAAGCCUGCUUCGAGAUGAGGACUCCCACCCCCUUGAGGGGUUAAGGCUCCCAGUAGAUGACUGGGUUGAUAGGCCGGAUCUGGAAGCACCGUGAGGUGUGGAGGUGACCGGUACUAAUAGGCCGAGGGCUUGUCCUCAGUUG